GGUUAUGGCUCAGCGGUAGAGCACUCGCCUCACAUGUGCAAGUCCCUGGGUUCAAUCCUCAGCACCA
rnacentral:tRNA from 1 species